ensembl:rRNA 5S_rRNA 5S ribosomal RNA
UGCAGCAGCAUAUCACCCUGCAACUCACAACUGGCAACCCACUGAAGCUAAGCAGGUGUGAGCCUGGUCAGUACCUGGAUGGGAGACCUCCUGGGAAAAACUAAGGUUGCUGCUGGAA